GGAGCUGGGAGGUCAUAGAGUCCUUCAUCUUUGUAGAGUGCACAGUCACUUGGCUUAUUACUCCAGUCUCUUUCCAAGAAGGGGCCACCUCUCAGCAUCCACAUGGAGAGGAACAAGGCAGAAAAUCCUGUUUCAGGAAAUCACCAAAGAGGGUUAAGGAGAAGAAUGACAUGAGGAAAUCUACAUGCUAGGAUUCAGGCAACAAUAAAGAAAACCUUUAGAGUAAGCGCGGAGAAGAACAGGCAAAGAGAAAGGUUGGCAGAAGAGACUAAGUGAGAACUCCUGUGGAGCCGCCGAGCGGGAGGAGAGCAAGGCGGCGCCUCAGGCAGGACGGAGACUACACUGCCAGCGAGGUGCGGGAUGGGCGAAGCCUGCGUGUUUUUAUCUGGGGCAACCAGACCAGUAGUUAAGCCAUGAAGGACAGGCCUGAAGCAAGGGGGUCAAAAAUCUUUUGGGGGACGGGGCCGGAGAGCAUACAGGAUGUCGUUUAGACACAUUUCUAAAGCCCUCUGAGCUGCGUGAUGCACAAGGACAUAAAAUCAUUUCCUUUAAUUCUUCCAACAGCAUACUGUCCACAUCUUACAUACACCAUGGUGCAGAGAAGCUAAUUUAUCAAGUGUUAUUUAUCUAUUCAUUUAAUUAUUCAACAAAUAUUUAUCAGGUGGCUUCCAGGUGCUGGGGAGUUGCGGGGAAGGCGAUAGGCAGCAAGGUCUCUAACCCUGCAGAGCUUGGGGCCUAGAAUGAGAUGACACAAUGAACAGGCCCGCUAAUUCAAUGAAGAAGAUAAUUUCACAAUGAUAAGACCUAAGACAACAACACUGUAGCAUUGGCUGAGUGUUAACACUGCGCUCUAUGGCAAGUGCGCUGCGAUUUUUACUUCAUUUAAAACCCUGACUAUAACCUCUAAGGAAGGUACUAACACUGGCCCCAGGAGGUGCUACUAUUGUCGCAAACAGUAGAAGACAAAAACUUAGGUAACAAAAACGUUCAAUAUCUUCGUCUCCCAACUCACAGUAAGGAGACACACCAGGCUUCAGCGCUGAGGAAGCUGAGGAAGUGGCUCUGGAGUUUAUGCUAAUAACCGUGAUAACCACACACCAGUGUUGCUUCCCACACACGAUGUUGUUACCGUGUUAUCUACUGAGAGUAAGGAAGCAGACCGUCCACAUCAGACUGAGCGAUGCAGAAAGCUUUCUCCGAAUCUGAUGCCAGAAGACAGCUACCUGCAGGCAGAACAUUCUAAGCUUAGGAGCAAGUGGAGAAACGGGAGGCGGCUCGUUUGACUCUGGGGCAGGAUGAGCUGGAGCAGUGAGAACGAGAUGAAGGGAACAGGCAAGACAGAUGAGCGGGUGCAGAAAACGAGUCUUACUUUUGAAAAAUACCGCCCAGUUUUAGGCAGGAAAUUAAUUCGAUCUACACUUUAUAAAAAGACAGUUCUGAGUUCAGUGAAGUGAACCGUGUCGGGAAGAAAGGGCGAGGUGAAAGCAGGGAAUGGAGUCCGACAGUCCGUCUCGGGAGUUGAACGUUCAACCGCUGUGUUCUGUGGUGUGUUUAAGAUACAGAGUCUUGGGUAAAAUUACGAAACAGAACAGUGGAAGUCUCACUCUGUAGUUCAGGAGAACAGCCAGGUCAAAAAUAAUUUAGAUUUUAUUUUGUAAUCUCUGAAAUAAAGGUAGAUGGUUAUCGAAGCUAUGGGAGUAGAUGAGACGGUUUAAGAAAAUAAGCCGUGAGAAGAAAAGCAAGGCCAGGUCCCAAGCUGUGAAGCCUGUUCUUUCUUCCUCAGAGCACUUCUGCUCCUCACUAGCAACAGGAACUACUGCUCGCUGCCGCUGCCGGAGUGUCUGCAGUCUUUGUCUCCCCCAGGGGGAGCCGGGGUGGGGGAGGACAAGCCCUGGCGUUGCUGUGCAGUAGAAGAGCUGCAUGCAGGGAGGCGCCAUCGAACCCACAGACCUCACUGAAGCCCGUGACAAGAACAGGCAACAUUCCUGAAUGCGUAUUUGCAGAAAAGCAAGUCACUGAUUCAGUGAUAACCACAUCUGAUAGCAAUAACCUACAGAGUUUUGUGAACUGACUGUGCUGUUAAGGUGAGUUAGCAUCUGAGGACAAGAACAGCUGCUGUGCUAGAGCCUCAGAAUUGCUGGCCACAGGCACAAACCCCGCCCCGCUUGGCGAGGAUGAAAAGGCACAACUGAAUACACAAGUGUCAGAGGAAGGGUAGGGAACUCUCACAGGCCAAGCCUUUGUACCUCUGCACGCUGAAAGAUCACUAAGGGACUGCUACCUUUGUCACGGGCAGAUGCACGCACAAGUCCUGGCACAUUUUAGAAGUAACAGGGUAAGGCAAGAACAGUUAAGAAUAGAGAAGUGAAGCCCUGAGGGCUUCCUUUGGGUUUCUUCCCACUCGUUGUGUCUCACCACAUGGAGGUGUGGCACCCCACGGUGGCCCUCUAAAUCUGAGACUGAGAAGCUGGCUUUCCACCUGGAGCAGACUGAUGGGCGAGUGGUGCCAUCCAAGCAGCAGGGUGCCGGCUGGCACACCGGAGAACAGUACAAAUGACACACAGAGGCCUUCUGCCGCCGGGCUUGACGGUCGCCAUGUUCCCUGAGCUGGAGCACAGGGCGACUGCUGGAGAUAAGAGAGCCCGGCUGGAGGGAGCGGACAGUAUUUCUAUUAGUUCAAGCUGUCUCCUCUUGUUCAGCCUGCCUUUCUUUCACAAAAAGCUCCAUGCUGCAGAGAGUUCAAGUGUUGACUCUGACAAACAUUUUACUGAAACCCAUGUGCCAUUUUCUGAUCUCAUGACGCUGUCUCUGCUGUUUGGUUUUGCAUCUCUUUAGUAUUUAAUGAUUUCAUGUAUUUCUGACCCUUACCUUCAUUAAAUUCUGAGCUCCUGGAAACAAGGACUGUUCUCGUGGUUUUAAUUUUUAUUAUAACAAAAUUUUAAACAUUUACAAAACCAGUACAAUACCCCUCCAUGCUCACCACCUCCGUCCAACAAUUACCAAGAUUUUUAUACAUGCCCGUAUUUCCCCUUUUUAUUUUUUCUUUUUCUUCUGUCACAGUAUAGUAUCACCUACAAUUCCUUGGUAUCAUCCAACAGGCAGCAGUUCACAUUCACAAAUUUACCUAAUUGCCUCAAAAAUGUCCUCUGACACGUCAUUCACUGAUACCCAAGCAGGAGGAGUCAGCUUGACUGUU